GUCUACAGCCAUACCACCCUGAACGCGCCUGACCGCAUCUGAUCUCAGAAGCUAAGCAGGGUCGGGCCUGGUUAGUACUUGGAUGGGAGACCGCCUAGGAAUACUGGGUGCUGUAGGCU
rnacentral:rRNA from 1 species